rnacentral:rRNA from 1 species
AAUAGAUACCCGGGUAGUCCACGCCCUAAACGAUGUCUACUAGUUGUCGGGUUUUAAUUAACUUGGUAACGCAGCUAACGCGUGAAGUAGACCGCCUGGGGAGUACGGUCGCAAGAUUAAAACUCAAAGGAAUUGACGGGGACCCGCACAAGCGGUGGAUGAUGUGGAUUAAUUCGAUGCAACGCGAAAAACCUUACCUACCCUUGACAUGGAAGGAAUCCUGGAGAGAUCUGGGAGUGCCCGAAAGGGAACCUUCACACAGGUGCUGCAUGGCUGUCGUCAGCUCGUGUCGUGAGAUGUUGGGUUAAGUCCCGCAACGAGCGCAACCCUUGUCAUUAGUUGCUACGCAAGAGCACUCUAAAUGAGACUGCCGGUGACAAACCGGAGGAAGGUGGGGAUGACGUCAAGUCCUCAUGGCCCUUAUGGGUAGGGCUUCACACGUCAUACAAUGGUACAUACAGAGGGCCGCCAACCCGCGAGGGGGAGCUAAUCCCAGAAAGUGUAUCGUAGUCCGGAUUGUAGUCUGCAACUCGACUACA